rnacentral:rRNA from 1 species
GGGUAAAGGCCUACCAAGGCAAUGAUGCGUAGCCGAGUUGAGAGACUGAUCGGCCACAUUGGGACUGAGACACGGCCCAAACUCCUACGGGAGGCAGCAGUAGGGAAUCUUCCACAAUGGACGCAAGUCUGAUGGAGCAACGCCGCGUGAGUGAAGAAGGUUUUCGGAUCGUAAAGCUCUGUUGUUGGUGAAGAAGGAUAGAGGCAGUAACUGGUCUUUAUUUGACGGUAAUCAACCAGAAAGUCACGGCUAACUACGUGCCAGCAGCCGCGGUAAUACGUAGGUGGCAAGCGUUGUCCGGAUUUAUUGGGCGUA